GGAUGUGAGGGCAAUCCGGCUGUGACAUCUGUCACCCCAUUGAUCGCCAGGGUUGAUUUGGCUGAUCUGGCCAGCUAGGCAGUUGUCCCCUUCCUCACCGCUCCAUGUGUGUCCCUCCCAACUGUGCACUUGGUCGAAGAGGAUGGCCUUCCCUGAAUACAGACCAGUAUUCAGUCGAGGGUAGCUGUGCUCCCCUGCUAGAACCUCCAAACAAGCUCUCAAGAAAGUGAAAGAGACCAUACCAGGGACUGGAAGAUGGCACACCUAGUUGACAUGCACGUUACCAUGU
ensembl:misc_RNA 7SK 7SK RNA